rnacentral:rRNA from 1 species
GAUGAACGCUGGCGGCGUGCCUAAUACAUGCAAGUCGAGCGAACAGACGAGGAGCUUGCUCCUUUGACGUUAGCGGCGGACGGGUGAGUAACACGUGGAUAACCUACCUAUAUGACUGGGAUAACUUCGGGAAACCGGAGCUAAUACCGGAUAAUAUAUUGAACCGCAUGGUUCAAUAGUGAAAGACGGUUUUGCUGUCACUUAUAGAUGGAUCCGCGCCGCAUUAGCUAGUUGGUAAGGUAACGGCUUACCAAGGCGACGAUGCGUAGUCGACCGGGGAGGGGGAUCGGCCACACUGGAACUGAGACACGGUCCGGACUCCUACGGGAGGCAGCAGUAGGGAAUCUUCCGCAAUGGGCGAAAGCCUGACGGAGCAACGCCGCGUGAGUGAUGAAGGUCUUCGGAUCGUAAAACUCUGUUAUUAGGGAAGAACAAAUGUGUAAGUAACUAUGCACGUCUUGACGGUACCUAAUCAGAAAGCCACGGCUAACUACGUG